GGUUACUGCUAUCGGUGUUCGCCUAAGCCAUGCGAGUCAUAUGUUCGUAAGAACAUGGCGUACUGCUCAGUAACACGUGGAUAACCUGCCCUUGGGUCCGGCAUAACCCCGGGAAACUGGGGAUAAUUCCGGAUAACGCACAUAUGCUGGAAUGCUUUAUGCGUAAAAUGGAUUCGUCUGCCCAAGGAUGGGUCUGCGGCCUAUCAGGUAGUAGUGGGUGUAAUGUACCUACUAGCCUACGACGGGUACGGGUUGUGAGAGCAAGAGCCCGGAGAUGGAUUCUGAGACAUGAAUCCAGGCCCUACAGGGCGCAGCAGGCGCGAAAACUUUACAAUGCGGGAAACCGUGAUAAGGGGACACCGAGUGCCAGCAUCCUAUGCUGGCUGUCCGGGUGUGUAAAAUACACCUGUUAGCAAGGGCCGGGCAAGACCGGUGCCAGCCGCCGCGGUAACACCGGCGGCCCGAGUGGUGAUCGUGAUUAUUGGGUCUAAAGGGUCCGUAGCCGGUUUGGUCAGUCCUCCGGGAAAUCUGACAGCUUAACUGUUAGGCUUUCGAAGGAUACUGCCAGACUUGGAACCGGGAGAGGUAAGAGGUACUACAGGGGUAGGAGUGAAAUCUUGUAAUCCCUGUGGGACCACCUGUGGCGAAGGCGUCUUACCAGAACGGGUUCGACGGUGAGGGACGAAA
rnacentral:rRNA from 1 species